UACAGAGGUCUCAAGCGUUGUUCGGAUUCAUUGGGCGUAAAGGGCGCGUAGGCGGCGCGGUAAGUCGGGUGUGAAAUUUCGAGGCUUAACUUCGAAACUGCAUUCGAUACUGCCGUGCUAGAGGACGGGAGAGGAGACUGGAAUUUACGGUGUAGCGGUGAAAUGCGUAGAUAUCGUAAGGAAGACCAGUGGCGAAGGCGGGUCUCUGGACAGGUCCUGACGCUGAGGCACGAAGGCCAGGGGAGCAAACGGG
rnacentral:rRNA from 1 species